GUCGAGCGAACAGAUGAGAAGCUUGCUUCUCUGAUGUUAGCGGCGGACGGGUGAGUAACACGUGGGUAACCUACCUAUAAGACUGGGAUAACUCCGGGAAACCGGGGCUAAUACCGGAUAAUAUUUUGAACCGCAUGGUUCAAUAGUGAAAGACGGUUUCGGCUGUCACUUAUAGAUGGACCCGCGCCGUAUUAGCUAGUUGGUAAGGUAACGGCUGACCAAGGCGACGAUACGUAGCCGACCUGAGAGGGUGAUCGGCCACACUGGAACUGAGACACGGUCCAGACUCCUACGGGAGGCAGCAGUAGGGAAUCUUCCGCAAUGGGCGAAAGCCUGACGGAGCAACGCCGCGUGAGUGAUGAAGGUCUUCGGAUCGUAAAACUCUGUUGUUAGGGAAGAACAAAUUUGUUAGUAACUGAACAAGUCUUGACGGUACCUAACCAGAAAGCCACGGCUAACUACGUGCCAGCAGCCGCGGUAAUACGUAGGUGGCAAGCGUUAUCCGGAAUUAUUGGGCGUAAAGCGCGCGUAGGCGGUUUCUUAAGUCUGAUGUGAAAGCCCACGGCUCAACCGUGGAGGGUCAUUGGAAACUGGGAAACUUGAGUGCAGAAGAGGAGAGUGGAAUUCCAUGUGUAGCGGUGAAAUGCGCAGAGAUAUGGAGGAACACCAGUGGCGAAGGCGGCUCUCUGGUCUGUAACUGACGCUGAUGUGCGAAAGCGUGGGGAUCAAACAGGAUUAGAUACCCUGGUAGUCCACGCCGUAAACGAUGAGUGCUAAGUGUUACGGGGUUUCCGCCCCCUUUAGUGCUGCAGCUAACGCAUU
rnacentral:rRNA from 1 species